UUUGAAAUCCAUGCAAUUUUUUCACAAUAAUUUUCAAAAACUUUUUGAAGACUCCCUUAAAUGCAUGGAUUUAUCAUUUUUCUCUGCACCACAAUCAGUCCAAGUUUUAACUUCACUUUCUCAUGGACAUUGCGAAGUUCUCUUACAGCCCUCUCUCAUGUUCCUGUGGUGCUGUUUCUCUGGAGAAUUCUGGCCAGUGCAACACACUGUUACACCCGCUCAUGAUGAUCAUCUCUUCCAUUGCUCCCCCAGGUGUUCUUGGACAGUCACUACUGCAGGUCAAGGUGCCUGACCCCUGACUGAGAGCCCACCUGCCAAAGCAGGAACUUGAACAAAAGGAGUCCGUGAUUGGCUGAGGACACAUCUUCAGGGAAUGGCCAAAGAGAGUUUGUCAUGUUAUGUGGAUGAGCAAACUUCCUUUGCCUCAUCCAGGAAGGUGAGUCCCCUACAGCCUUUGGUCAUCGUAAUGUUCUGAGCACUGGGUUUGCAAAGCGCUCUCCCAGUAUUAAUCCACACCUCACACAAGAGACAUCUAGGGUGCCCGAGAGGUGAGUGGGUUAGCUCAGGUGUGUGGUAUGGAUAUGGAGCU